UUUUUACUGUUCCUAGAUAUGUCCUUGGCAAACCUCAGUAGAGUAUGGAAGAAUGGAGUAGAGUCUUCAGGACAGCCCUGGAGAGUCAGGCUGGCUUUCAACUGUGAUUCAUACAUAACACAAGAUGUGUGAAUGUCAUGCUGACUCUAAGCCACAGCUGGUGACAUUUCUGGAGCAAAGACAAGGGUCCACCGGUGUGAAGAGACAAGCAGUAAAAACAGUGUUCCCAGGUGUCUUCACAUAAAGGUCAACCUUACUAUUCUCUCCUCUGAUUGCAUUCUUUGUGAUACAACAAGCUACUUAAUGAAGAUGAGCUCCCAAAUUAAUUCAGAUUUUGUAAGGUAUACCAUAAAGGGAUGUGGAGACUGAGGUUACAAGUUUCUCCAAGAACUCUAUUUAGGUCUCAGGUGUACAUAUUUUUUGAUAAAACAAUUAGAUCAAAAAUUAUAAUUUUUACAAUUCAAUUUUUCAACAGGAAUAAAUUACUUGUAUUUACAAAAUCCCAA